CCCAGGACCCCGGGAUCACAACCCAAGCCAAAGACAGACACUCAACCAUUGAGCCACCCAGUUAGAAGUGGUCAUGUGACUGAGUUCUAGCUAGUGGAGUACAGAAGUGAACUGUAGUCUUUCCAGGUCUGGCUCAUAAAACUCUCCCACAGUUAUUGAGCUGUUGAAGAAUGAAGAAGUAAAGUGAUGGAGAAUAUUCAAAGAUGUCUAAUUCCACGUGUGCUUAAAGGAAUUCAUCUAGGAAAAUAUGGGCCGUAAUCAAUUAAAGACCUACUUGUGAAGGAGCCAUUGUUUGCAGUUCCAUUCAGUUGCUGAGUUGUCUUUUAGACUGCCCAUGCGGAAACCCUGAUCAAAUGAAGAAAACAAUCAUCUUUAGACGUAUGAUUUAAUAAAACUUCUGAGUCUGUUAUUGUUAUGCAAGCACAUAAGCCUCUCUCUUUUCCUUGAGUGACAUGUCUUGGGAGUUUAUAAGGAAGAGCCUGGGUGCCCAGACCAGCCACUCUACAGAUGACUCAGGACACCUUCGCUAAAUCCAUUCAUUACCCUGGCCCCUAGUGGGAGUUACAAGCAAAGCCUGCCAAUUAGAUGUUGGUAAUGUGGACUCUGCUUUAGGGAAUUGGGUAAGACUGCCAGAAUUCAUUCCUGAACUUUAGCAGCCACAAAAGAGUAUUUUUCUGUCGUCUGUAACUGAUUCAAAACCAGGUCUCAAAAGGACAAGCUUCCUUUUGUGCCCCAUCUUUCCUAAAGUCCAAUGACUAAUAAUGUUACAACAUCAGGUUUUUCACAAGAUCACAGGAAACAUCUGAUGAAGGAGAAGCAAAGAAAAAAAUGUCAUCAUUUGACUUCAUUAGCCUUUGUUUAACUCUGUUUUCUAAUUUUAGAACAUUCUCUUUGGAAAGUAAUUAAGGGGUAAUUCAUCACGAAUUAAUGGUGCUUUAUUGUUAAAUGAAAGAUUAAACUUGAGAUGUAUCAAUAAUCAUAAAAAAAUAAAAAGUUUUCCAAAAUCUUUAGGUGGUGAAAAGAAAUUAAGUUCAUAUUUAAAACUACUUGCCCUUGCCUUGAAAAAAUAUUUCCAAAAUCCUGUCCU